ACCUCAAACCUUUAAGGAUCUUACUUUAUAAAUAAACAUCCACAACUUAAUCCUUUACUACACAUCUUCCAUUAUCAGCACAAUCCUACAUUUUCUAUUAUCAAAAACAACACAUUCCUACAUCUUUCUAUUAUAAAAAAUUAUACAAGAAAUGACUUUAACACUUCGUUCAUCAACUUCUUUUAUCAAUAUAAAAGAAACAAAAGGUGUUAAAACACCUGAUGAUUUCUUAGGCAUGGUUUCUUAUGCACAAACCAAGCCAUCUUAUCGUCUCAUAACAAAGAAUUCAAUGCAAGAAGCUCACCUCUCUCAUGAGAGAGUUAUCGUUAAUGAGAAAAGAGAAAAACUUCAUGUGCUAACAACUACUCACAGUAAUAGUAGUACAAAGGUACCUGUUUUUGUGAUGCUACCACUUGAUACUAUGACUAUGGGAGGGAACUUGAACAAGCCACGAGCGAUGCACGUGAGUUUAAUGGCCUUGAAAACUGCUGGAAUUGAAGGAGUAAUGGUAGAUGCUUGGUGGGGUUUGGUUGAAAAAGAUGGACCUUUGAAAUAUAAUUGGGAAGGUUAUGUUGAACUUGUUAAGAUGUGCAAAGAACAUGGCUUGAAACUUCAAGUUGUUAUGUCUUUUCAUCAGUGUGGAGGAAAUGUUGGAGACUCUUGCAGGAGGUCACAGGAAAACUUGAAAUUGACAUUCUGUUUUUUUCUACAGGAAAUUCAAGUGGGAAUGGGUCCUUGUGGGGAGCUAAGAUAUCCAUCUUAUCCGGAAAGCAAUGGUACAUGGAGGUUUCCUGGAAUUGGAGAAUUCCAGUGCUAUGACAAGUAGAUGAGAGCUUCACUAGCAGCAGCCGCCAAGGCGGCCGGAAAGGAUGACUGGGGCCAGGGAGGGCCUCAUGACUCCGGACAGUACAACCAAUUUCCUGAGGAUACUGGAUUUUUUCAAAGAGAUGGAACAUGGAACAGUGAAUAUGGACAGUUCUUCCUGGAGUGGUAUUCAGGAAAGCUAGUGGAGCACGGCGACAGAAUCCUAGCAGCAGCAGAGGGUAUAUAUCAAGGGACUGGGGCUAAACUAUCUGGAAAGGUAGCUGGGAUUCAUUGGCAUUACAAUACAAGAUCACAUGCUGCAGAAUUAACAGCAGAUACUAUAAUACAAGACACACAAAUGGCUAUCUACCUAUAGCACGUAUGUUCGCCAAACAUCGUGUUGUAUUUAACUUUACAUGUAUGGAAAUGAGAGAUGGUGAACAGCCCCAGAGUGCAAAUUGCUCACCAGAAGGCUUAGUUCGACAAGUAAAAAAUGCAACUAGAACCGCUGAAGUAGAACUUGCUGGAGAAAAUGCUUUAGAGAGGUAUGAUGGAGGAGCAUAUUCUCAAGUUUUGGCAACAAGCAGAUCAGAAUCUGGAAAUGGAUUGAGUGCAUUCACAUUCUUGAGAAUGAACAAGCGGUUGUUUGAGCCAGAAAACUGGCGGAAUCUAGUGCAAUUCGCGAAAAACAUGUCAGAUGGAGGUUGAAAUGCUACACUUCCCGAGUGUGACUCAAGCAGGACAGACCUCUAUGUACAUUUUAUCAAAAAGAGUCAUUCUGAGAAAGCUUCAGAGGUUGCACUAGUGUAGCGAUAUGAAAAAAGAGGCCGCCCGGUGCACAAGGCAUCCUGCGUUCACACAGAGUUCAGGGAAGGGCCGCACCCUAAGAAAGCUACAGAGGUUGCACUAGUGUAAUGAUAUGCAUACAUGUAAUAUAGUCAUUCCAUUGUAGGUUAGCAGAGAAAA